rnacentral:sRNA from 1 species
UAUUUUUAUUGAACAAGUGAUGCAGUAUCCUAGUCGGGAACCCUUUUUUGAAGGCGGGCCCAAAAAUCCGUCAAGGGCACAUCGAUGAAGUUCCUGGUGCUGGCUGCCGACGCCCAGUUGGGGGUUGGUACUGGGAGUUAAGGGGGCGGGGCGACCCGCAAUGGCAUGUGGGCGUUGACCCUGCCCCCGUGGAGACCCAAGUGCGUGGUGGCUUGUUAACGCAGUUGCUAUGGCUUGGGGGUAAACCUGCUCGUGGGGAAAGCUGCGUGCAGUGUAGCCUGCCUUGAGUGGUGCCGGUGGAGGCUUUUAUAUUGGGACAUUACGUAUGGGCCCAUGCGUGAUGUACUCUCGGCUUAAACCGUCAUUGCAAAAGAGGCUAGGAAAAGGUACUCCCGUUGAGGAAAACUCCUAGGCUGUCCGGUAAAUCGGGACGAUGCGGGGAUUGCAGUGUGGACUAAGUGGUAAUCCAGCCCCGGAUACUAAAUCUAAAUCCGGAAUUUCGUUUAAUGGGAAACCGCCGGUAUGGCAACAGCCGGUACGAAAUUGGGAAAACCUGCUGGACCUAAGCCACAACAUUUACCCGUGUCGUUGUCACUUGUUUGUGUACAUAU